CACUGCCAUUUCCAUCUCCGUUUCCAGUACCACUGGUAACAGUCGACGAUUGUGUGCAUUGUACCAAGGACGGGCUCCCAGGCUGCAAGUGUUCACGACUACCAGGUUGACUCCAUCCACCGUUCUCUCCGCCGCUGGUACCACUACCGUGCUGUUGAUAAAAAACAUGAAGAUUGGCUCCUCCGUCGGAGGCUCUUCGUCCAAAACUUCCUGCUGUAUGGAGUAAUAUAAUAAAUACAAUAAUUACACGUUAUAAGGAUUACUCGUAUCAGCGUGAUAGAAAAUAAAAAUUUACUUACUAGCACCCAUCACGGGUGGUGGCUUUAAUAAA